ensembl:lncRNA novel transcript
GAGUAGCUGGGACUGCAGGCGCCCGCCACCAUGCCUGGCUAAUUUUUUGUAUGUUUAGUAGAGACGGGGUUUCACCGUGUUAGCCAGGAUGGUCUCUAUCUCCUGACCUUGUGAUCUGCCUGCCUCGGCCUCCCGAAGUGCCGGGAUUACAAGCGUGAGCCACCAUUCCCGGCCCAAAGAGGAGAAGAAGUAUGAAGUGCUUGCUUGGACCUUUCUACUGUGCUUAUUAUUCUGUCUUCUCCUCAUGGCAAUUUGGGGACUCAGAUUGACUUCCUUGCUUCUCAGCUUGAAGAUGGACUAUUGUGGGACUUCACCUUGUGAUCAUAAGCUGACAAACGGUUUAUAUCAGAAGGUGGAAUCGUGGGUAUGGUCGAUGUGGCAGGUCCUAAACAUAAAUUGGAUUUCUUUUUUAUUUUCAUUUAUUAAAUACAGAAGAAAUAUUUCGCUGAAGACACAGGAAACCCUAUUUUGUAUAAACGAGGGAUUGCAAGAGAUUGUUGGAAGAUCAAAGAUGGGUGAAUUGGAGAAACAGGAUCUCUCUCUCUCUGUCUCCCAGGCUGGAAUGUGGUGGUGCAAUCAUAGCUCACUGUAACUUCGAAUUCCUGGCCCCAACUGAUCCUCCCACCUUGGCCUCCCAAAAUAUAGCGAUUGGUGGUAUAAGCCACUGCUCCCGGGCUCCAGAACAUUUUGAUCAUCCCAAACUAAAACUUUACACCCGUUAAGCAAUAAUUCUUCAUUACUCCCACCCACAAGUCCCUGUUAACCACUAUCAUACUUUCUGUCUCUAUAAAUUUUACAGUUCUAGGUAUUGCAUAUGUCUCAGUCUGUUUGGGCUAGUAUAACAAAAUAUGAUAAACUGAGUAGAUUAUAAACAACAUAAAUUUAUUUGUCACAGUUCUGGAGCCUGGGAAGUCCAAGAUUAAGGCACUGACAGAUUUGGUGUCUGGUGAAGGCCUAUUCCCUGGUUCAGGAGAUGAUGCCUUCUAGCUCUGUCCUUAUAUGGUGGAAGGAGCAAAUAAGAUUCCCUGAGCCUUUUUUAUAAGCACACUAAACCCAUUUAUGAAGGCUUUACUUUCAUGACCCACUUUCCAAAAGGCCCCUUCUCCUAAUACUGUCACCUUGGGGGUUACUAUUUCAACAUAUAAAUUUGGAAGGUAAGGGUUGCAAGCAUUCAGACCAUAGUAUCAUAUAAAUGGAAAUGUACAACAUGUACUUUUUUCUGUCUGGUUUAUUUCACUUUGCCUAUGUUUUUAAGGUUUAUUCAUGUGGUGCAUAUAGGAAUUUCUACACUAUGUUUUGCUGAUGCAUUCAUUCAUCGAUGAACACUUAGGUUGUAUCCACCUUUCGACUAUUGCAAAUUAUGCUGCUGUAAUAAACAUUAGUGUACAAAA